UCCUGCUCCAGUGACGCCCCCUCCGACAAAGCGGUUGGCAAAGUCAACCUGACAAGAUACACUGAGCGUUAAUUUCUGAAUAUCUGCCUUUGCUGGCCCUGUUCAAGCUACAGUUCUUGAACGGCUGGUUCAUGACCAACAGGCCAUGUUGAUGUUAAUGCAUAUUUAAUUUUAAAAAAUUACAUUACUGGAAAAUUGUCUUAUUAUUUCAAGCAAAACAAAAAACAGUGGACAGUGGACAGUUUUCUGGGCUCAGCUGGAAAAUGGAUCCUGCAGCUAGAACUUUUGCAACCUCAGAGACUUAAGAUAUGAAAAAGCAACACCUGAAGAUGCCUGAAGAAGCAGGAGACUGCAAAAUGUUUUAACAGCAUCCUGCUCCAAAGAUUUUAUUUUAUUUAUUAUUUUAUUUUAUUAAAUUUAGUGGCCACCCCUCUUA